rnacentral:rRNA from 1 species
CUUAGAGUUUGAUGCCUGGCUCAGAUUGAACGCUGGCGGCAUGCCUUACACAUGCAAGUCGAACGGCAGCGCGGGGCAACCUGGCGGCGAGUGGCGAACGGGUGAGUAAUAUAUCGGAACAUACCCUAGAGUGGGGGAUAACGUAGCGAAAGUUACGCUAAUACCGCAUACGCACUAAGGUGGAAAGNGGGGGAUCGCAAGACCUCNUGCUCAUGGAGUGGCCGAUAUCUGAUUAGCUAGUUGGUAGGGUAAAAGCCUACCAAGGCGACGAUCAGUAGCUGGUUUGAGAGAACGACCAGCCACACUGGAACUGAGACACGGUCCAGACUCCUACGGGAGGCAGCAGUGGGGAAUUUUGGACAAUGGGGGCAACCCUGAUCCAGCAAUGCCGCGUGAGUGAAGAAGGCCUUCGGGUUGUAAAGCUCUUUUGUCAGGGAAGAAACGGANGUU